rnacentral:rRNA from 1 species
GACGAACGCUGGCGGCGUGCUUAACACAUGCAAGUCGAACGGGCCCGCCCCUGUUUUUAGGGGUGGGUUGAGUGGCGAACGGGUGAGUAUCCCGUGAGUAACCUGCCCCCUGCUCCUGGAUAACUGCUUGAAAGGGCGGCUAAUACGGGGUGUGCCGGCUGGUCCGCAUGGGCCUGGUCGGGAUAGUUUCAUCUUCGGGUGUUUCGGUGGGGGAUGGGCUCGCGGCCUAUCAGCUUGUUGGUGGGGAGAUGGCCCACCAAGGCGGGGACGGGUAGCCGUCCGGAGAGUGUGGGCGGUCACACUGGGACUGAGCCACGGCCCAGAGUCCUGCGGGAGGCAGCAGUGGGGGGUAUUGCACAAUGGGCGGAAGCCUGAUGCAGCGACGUCGCGUGAGGGAUGGAGGCCUUCGGGUUGUGAACCUCUUUCUCCGGUGGUGAAGGCCCUGUCCGUUGCGGCGGGGUUGACGGUAGCCGGGUAUGAAGCGCCGGCUAACUACGU